CCUACGGGGGGCAGCAGUGGGGAAUAUUGGGCAAUGGGGGGAACCCUGACCCAGCGACGCCGCGUGAGGGAAGAAGGUUUUCGGUAUGUAAAGCUCUAUCAGCAGGGAAGAAAAUGACGGUACCUGACUAAGAAGCCCCGGCUAACUACGUGCCAGCAGCCGCGGUAAUACGUAGGGGGCAAGCGUUAUCCGGAUUUACUGGGUGUAAAGGGAGCGUAGACGGCAGUGCAAGUCUGAAGUGAAAGGCAAGGGCUCAACCCUUGGACUGCUUUGGACACUGCGCUGCUCGAGUGUCGGAGAGGCAA
rnacentral:rRNA from 1 species